CGAGAAAGAGUUCUUCGGAACUUGAGUAAAGUGGCGCACGGGUGAGUAACGCGUAAAUAAUCUACCCUUAUGUCUGGGAUAACACAUCGAAAGGUGUGCUAAUACCGGAUAUGUUUCAUGACUGCAGGGUUAUGAAGCAAAGGAGGCCUCUGAUUCAAGCUUCUGCAUGGGGACGAGUUUGCGUACCAUUAGUUAGUUGGUGGGGUAAAGGCCUACCAAGGCAGCGAUGGUUAGCGGGUCUGAGAGGAUGAUCCGUCACACUGGCACUGGAACACGGGCCAGACUCCUACGGGAGGCAGCAGUGAGGAAUAUUGCGCAAUGGGGGAAACCCUGACGCAGCGACGCCGCGUGGGUGAGGAAGGUUUUCGGAUCGUAAAGCCCUGUCAGGUGGGAAGAAAUGCAUAUUAGUUAAUACCUAUUAUGUUUGACGGUACCGCCAAAGGAAGCACCGGCUAACUCCGUGCCAGCAGCCGCGGUAAUACGGAGGGUGCAAGCGUUGUUCGGAAUCACUGGGCGUAAAGGGCGUGCAGGCGGUUUGGUAAGUCAGAUGUGAAAUCCCACGGCUCAACCGUGGAAGUGCAUUUGAAACUGUCAGACUUGAGUAUCAGAGGGGGAAGUGGAAUUCCCGGUGUAGAGGUGAAAUUCGUAGAUAUCGGGAGGAAUACCAGUGGCGAAGGCGACUUCCUGGCUGAAUACUGACGCUGAGGCGCGAAAGCGUGGGGAGCAAACAGGAUUAGAUACCCUGGUAGUCCACGCCGUAAAACGAUGUGCACUAGAUGUAGGGGGUGUUGAUCCCCUCU
rnacentral:rRNA from 1 species